rnacentral:misc_RNA from 1 species
UUUGACGACUACUUUAUUUGAUAAUCAGAAGUAGAGUGACCUCAUGAAGAUUUGGAGAUCCUGUCUACGGAAUGAAUUGAUGGAAUGAGAAAAGUCUCUGUUCCAGGGCCCCAAAUUCCCACCUAUACUGGGGGCAGCAGUAGCAAUGGACUUAAAUCCCUUAAAAACCAAUCCUCUUUUGAUUUGUCCCAUCGGAAAAUAUCAGGUGGUGGGAUUCCUCCUCUGUGCACAAAUCGUGUGAGAGAAAAACGCAUCUCAAUUAUUGUAUCUGGACCUGACCCCAAUCGCCGCAUAUCCUCCUCAUCCGCAAAUAAACCUCACACCCUUCUUGCUCUACAACAACGCUAUGCAUCCUCAUUCGACGCCUCAGAAUUUCGUCGAACAUAUAUUGAGUCUCACUUUAAUGAAACUGAAGUAACAACGAUCAGGAAUAAUCAGAGUUCCUCCAAUCUUGCCCGAGAUCUUCGAGAAUCAAGUGUUUACUCCACUCGGAAACCCCUGUUUCAGCCCUCUCUUGAAGCCUCUUCCAAGUUCAAAAAGAAACUGCGAACAAAAACCGAGGAAACACAGUCAACCCUCUUGGAUAUUGUAAGCAAACUCAAUUUUGAAGUCCAUGAGCUCAAGUCUCGUACUGAAGAGUAUCUUGAGAGGGAGGAUGAUGAAUCCAGCUGCAAAAAUGGGGUUGAAGAAAGUGAUACUCAAGGUAUGAGUAGAAUGGGUAAUGAAGAUAAGAGUGAAAUCAACUCCAAUCUACGACUUUUUUGUCUCACAACCUUUAAAAUCCUCACCCUUGUAAACGAAUGCUACGAGCUAGUUAAAUCCAUUCAGAGCCAAUCAUCAGCACCCUCUUCAUUAAACACAUCAUCCCUCCUCUCUCAGGGCACGCUCCUCUCAGAAUCCUUUCGAAAUCAUGACUUUGGAAAGGACAUUUCUGUCUCGUAUUUUGGCUUGGAUUGGAAGGAAUUAACAGAUUUAGUCCAUGAAAUAGAGGGCCAUGUACGCUCCCUAUAUAUUUCCUCGCGUAAAAGCUCAUUGGAACAUUUUAGCCACUAUUACAGACAUCACGUACGAAAAACUUCUAAUGGAGGUCAGAGUAUUUCCAAUAGCACGGAUCUACCCGAAAAUCCCGGUAGUAAUAAUAAAAGCCUCCCAUCCCUUUGUGUGUCUAUUUGUAAGGAUUUGAGGAAGGUCCGUGAUGACGUACUCUCGCAUACGGAGGCAGUACUGCGAGGACGGUUGAGUCCAGUUAACAAACAAAUUAUUUGUGAGGAGCAAAAUCGAUUCAGAGCUUAUAACAUGAUAUCUUCCUUCUUUUCCCAUUCAUCACCCUUGGAGCGAAAAGGCUCAUUUACAGGAAGGAUCAUGAGUCUUUUCCACGGUCAUGGCCAACAGAAAAAGAAACAGCCUCCUAUGAACAACAACGUAUGGAGUGAAUGGUUCGAGGUGGCCGCCAAUCAAACACAGCUCAUUAAGAGAAUUCAAGAAAUUUGAUAAUGAAUAGAAACAGAAUGAGGAAGUCAGGGUCGUGACUGCGGGGGAGGAAGGGUAGUUUUUAGUUUUCUUAAAGCUUGUUGUCAAAUUUAUGAAAAGGAAAAAGUUUUUUACCAAUUAAAAUUGUGACGUUGUCAUCUGUUGUUUCUAUAAAUUCGAUCAAAUUAUCUCUCUUCCAAAAAAAGUUAAGUCAAAAAUGUUUAACUAAAAAAAUUAUUUGGCAAUUAUAGACAAAAACAAAGAACAUUUUGUUCAAACUGUCAAAGAAUUGUUACAAAACCCUCACCUCCAAUGAAGAAUCCGUGUCACGACUCUGGAGGACGUGAAAUUAUUGAUGGCAUUGGAUCAUCAGAUGUAUUUGAGCCUUUAGAACGUUGUAAACAUGUGUGGCCCGACAAAACAAAAACAAGCUACAAUCAUUUUUCUCAAAAUUGAGUGUGGAUUAUAUUUGUAUUAUUCUUAUAAACCCUUUGCGUGUGCCGCAAUUUGUACUUAAUGUAUCCAAAAUGCAUCAUCAAAAUAAAAUAAUGAAAAAAUGGUA